UAGGGAAUCUUCCGCAAUGGACGCAAGUCUGACGGAGCAACGCCGCGUGAGUGAAGAAGGAUUUCGGUUCGUAAAACUCUGUUGUUAGAGAAGAACAGCGCAUAGAGUAACUGUUAUGCGUGUGACGGUAUCUAACCAGAAAGCCACGGCUAACUACGUGUCAGCAGCCGCGGUAAUACGUAGGUGGCAAGCGUUGUCCGGAUUUAUUGGGCGUAAAGCGAGCGCAGGCGGUCAAUUAAGUCUGAUGUGAAAGCCCCCGGCUCAACCGGGGAGGGUCAUUGGAAACUGGUUGACUUGAGUGCAGAAGAGGAGAGUGGAAUUCCAUGUGUAGCGGUGAAAUGCGUAGAUAUAUGGAGGAACACCAGUGGCGAAGGCGACUCUCUGGUCUGUAACUGACGCUGAGGCUCGAAAGCGUGGGUAGCAAACAGG
rnacentral:rRNA from 1 species